rnacentral:tRNA from 1 species
GCCGCUGUAGCUCAGUGGUAGAGCGCACCCUUGGUAAGGGUGAGGUCGAGAGUUCAAUUCUCUCCAGCGGCA